UACUCGAGUGACGAACGGGUGAGUAACACGUGGGUGAUCUGCCCUGCACUUCGGGAUAAGCCUGGGAAACUGGGUCUAAUACCGGAUAGGAGCCAUUUUUAGUGUGAUGGUUGGAAAGUUUUUUCGGUGUAGGAUGAGCUCGCGGCCUAUCAGCUUGUUGGUGGGGGUAAUGGCCUACCAAGGCGGCGACGGGUAGCCGGCCUGAGAGGGUGGACGGCCACAUUGGGACUGAGAUACGGCCCAG
rnacentral:rRNA from 1 species